rnacentral:rRNA from 1 species
GAGUAACGCGUAGGAAUCUACCAAAUAGCGUGGGAUAGCCCGGAGAAAUCCGGAUUAAUACCGCAUAAUCUCUACGGAGUAAAGAGGGCCUCUAUUUAUAAGCUUUCACUAUUUGAUGAGCCUGCGUAAGAUUAGCUUGUUGGUGAGGUAAAAGCUCACCAAGGCGACGAUCUUUAGCUGGUCUGAGAGGGUGACCGGCCACACUGGGACUGAGACACGGCCCAGACUCC